ensembl:lncRNA
GUAAUACACAUCACAUGGCUGAGAGUCCGCUUUCCAGGCAGGGCCAGCAUGUGUAGAAUAUCUUUCAGAAUGUUCACCAUGAAACAGGGGUGGUAGAUGUAUUCCCUUGUGUCGGGCCAAAGAAGUUCUUACAAAGUACAGUGGGUGGUGUCUAAAGGGACACUUUACUCACAGCCUGGCUUGAGUAACAGGAACACCAUAGCACCCGCAAAUACUUCUACUUGAAUCAUAUUCUGUGCUUUUUCAAUCACUAGUGCAGAAUAGGCUGCAUCUUGACACAGACUGUUAGGCAAUAUUGAUUUUUUUGUUUUGUUUUUAUUUGGUUUUAUCUGAGAUAACUCAUGUUCAAGGUGGGAAUAAGAAAUAGCCAACUAAUUAAAAUGUAUGAAAAGAAAACUUUCCCCUGCUGUAUUUGUUGUGUAACAUAAAUAAGCCUUCUGAGAAGCAGGGUGAAUAAAGUUUAGGGAGCUGGGACACCUGGUCCUUCUGCUAGCUGGACCACUGGCUCAUCAUGCAAUGAAAGGUGAGCAGAUUUAACCCCUCUGUGCCUCAGCUUUUUCCCCACAGACACCUACCUCACAGGGGCAUUGAGACAAAAAUUAAAGAAAGGCAUUUUACAGUCUCUAAACAUGUUUAAGUGCCAUAAGUAAUUUUUCCUGACUCUGUUUCAUAGCUUUGUAAGAAUUCUGUGUCUUAUAAGCAAGGCAGGUGCUACAUAAAAAAGUAAUCUUAGCGUGAGCUACCCCGCCCAGCCCCCUUUUCUUUAUUAUUGAAGAUAUUGUUGAAAAGAAAGAAAAAAUAGGUCCCAAUAGUAUAUGUGCUACUCAAAAAAUGUGAUCAUUUAGGACAUUAUCACAAGUUGCUAUGGAAAUAACUGAAGGCUUCCUCAGGAGAAGGAAAGAAAAUGAGGAAAGUAAUGGAGUCCACGAACUCCCACCAGCUCACCUGAGGGGAGCUCAGUGCAGCUGAAAUACUGAAUACUGAAAUACUAGAAACCAACAAAACUGGUUUCUAGUAUUCUCCAGGGAUUUGGGCUUGGGAAACUUGGUAAGAAUAGUAUUUAUUUUUGAACAUUCAACUUUGGCUCUUCAAAGUAAUCUUUAAACGUGGGAAUAUGUUUUCAAGACAAUUCACAGGACAUACUUAGGUAGUUGGUGAGGUCUUCUCAAAACUAUCUACCUUUGUUAGAUAAUAACAAGUGACUAAGAAAGGGGAGAUAUGGUUUUAUGCUCAAAACAAUUUCAUGUGCCAUUCUUUGUAUACAGAGGUGAGUCUUUUACUCUCCCAUUAGUAGAACUUGCACUUUGGGCUGUCUGCUCUAGUAUUUGGGAAGUGUUUAUGCUUCCUUCCAGAGACCAUCUUAUGAUCAGAGGCAGGAUGUCUGUGAGAUGAUUAGCCAGAGUUAGCAGUGUCCAGGGAGAGUGGCUUUAGACCAGUCAGUACCUUGCUGUUUGUGCAUUGUGCAUGGUGCAUGUCAAGUCAGGAAGCCAAGAAACCGUUGGCAUUAAAAUCUAGAUGCGUAGAGAUCCUUGCUAUGAGUUGUGGAUAGGAGUGGCUCCGUCUAUCCUCGUGGUGAGAAAGUCCAGGAGCUCCUUUAGAGAUUGUCAAGUCAUGAGCGAUGAGCUGCCGUUAAUCCUCAGACGCCUUACAAAAAUUGAGAGGUACCACUUCUACCCUUUGAGAAAAAA